rnacentral:lncRNA from 1 species
UUUUGCUCUGGGAUCUGGGCUCAGCCACACAGCUCUUCUGUUGGCAUCUCUUGGGAUUACUCAUGGUGUUUUGGCUGCAGCCAGAGGAUCCAAGAAAGUUUCCUUCACAUACUUGGCAGUAACAUCGAAUUUGCAGCUGAGUGUCUUGGCUCUCUUCCAUGUGGCUUUUCCAGCAUAUUGACCCAGGUUUUUAAUAUGGGGGCAGCAGCUUUCCAAGAGAGUGAGAACAAAAACUGCAAGGCCUCUUGAGUGAGACUGGACAGUCACACAGUGCCACCUCUACUGCAUUCAACUGAUCUUGUGGGAUAUCGUUUUCUUCAGUUGAACUUGAAUGGUUUCCAUUUUGUAUGUCAUCAAG